GAUGAACGCUAGCGGCAGGCCUAACACAUGCAAGUCGAGGGACCGGCGCACGGGUGCGUAACGCGGAUGCAACUUACCUUUCACAGGGGGAUAGACCGGAGAAAUUUGGAUUAAAUCCCAUAGUGGAAGAUGGGCAUGCGUCCUAUUAGCUAGGUGGCGAGGUAACGGCUCGCCAAGGCGACGAUAGGUAGGGGUCCUGAGAGGGAGAUCCCCCACACUGGUACUGAGGCAGGGACCAGACGCCUACGGGAGGAAGCAGAGAGGAAUAAUGGUGAAUGGUCGGAAGUGUGAACCAGCCGUGCCGCGGGCAGGAAGUCGGCCUAUGGGUUGUAAGCUGGUUUUGUAUGAGGAGCGUUACCAUAUGAAUAAGCACCGGCUAACUCCGUGCCAGCAGCCGCGGUAAUAC
rnacentral:rRNA from 1 species